GAUGAACGCUGGCGGCGUGCCUAAUACAUGCAAGUCGAGCGAACGGACGAGAAGCUUGCUUCUCUGAUGUUAGCGGCGGACGGGUGAGUAACACGUGGAUAACCUACCUAUAAGACUGGGAUAACUUCGGGAAACCGGAGCUAAUACCGGAUAAUAUUUUGAACCGCAUGGUUCAAAAGUGAAAGACGGUCUUGCUGUCACUUAUAGAUGGAUCCGCGCUGCAUUAGCUAGUUGGUAAGGUAACGGCUUACCAAGGCAACGAUGCAUAGCCGACCUGAGAGGGUGAUCGGCCACACUGGAACUGAGACACGGUCCAGACUCCUACGGGAGGCAGCAGUAGGGAAUCUUCCGCAAUGGGCGAAAGCCUGACGGAGCAACGCCGCGUGAGUGAUGAAGGUCUUCGGAUCGUAAAACUCUGUUAUUAGGGAAGAACAUAUGUGUAAGUAACUGUGCACAUCUUGACGGUACCUAAUCAGAAAGCCACGGCUAACUACGUGCCAGCAGCCGCGGUAAUACGUAGGUGGCAAGCGUUAUCCGGAAUUAUUGGGCGUAAAGCGCGCGUAGGCGGUUUUUUAAGUCUGAUGUGAAAGCCCACGGCUCAACCGUGGAGGGUCAUUGGAAACUGGAAAACUUGAGUGCAGAAGAGGAAAGUGGAAUUCCAUGUGUAGCGGUGAAAUGCGCAGAGAUAUGGAGGAACACCAGUGGCGAAGGCGACUUUCUGGUCUGUAACUGACGCUGAUGUGCGAAAGCGUGGGGAUCAAACAGGAUUAGAUACCCUGGUAGUCCACGCCGUAAACGAUGAGUGCUAAGUGUUAGGGGGUUUCCGCCCCUUAGUGCUGCAGCUAACGCAUUAAGCACUCCGCCUGGGGAGUACGACCGCAAGGUUGAAACUCAAAGGGAUUGACGGGGACCCGCACAAGCGGUGGAGCAUGUGGUUUAAUUCGAAGCAACGCGAAGAACCUUACCAAAUCUUGACAUCCUUUGACAACUCUAGAGAUAGAGCUUUCCCCUUCGGGGGACAAAGUGACAGGUGGUGCAUGGUUGUCGUCAGCUCGUGUCGUGAGAUGUUGGGUUAAGUCCCGCAACGAGCGCAACCCUUAAGCUUAGUUGCCAUCAUUAAGUUGGGCACUCUAAGUUGACUGCCGGUGACAAACCGGAGGAAGGUGGGGAUGACGUCAAAUCAUCAUGCCCCUUAUGAUUUGGGCUACACACGUGCUACAAUGGACAAUACAAAGGGCAGCGAAACCGCGAGGUCAAGCAAAUCCCAUAAAGUUGUUCUCAGUUCGGAUUGUAGUCUGCAACUCGACUACACGAAGCUGGAAUCGCUAGUAAUCGUAGAUCAGCAUGCUACGGUGAAUACGUUCCCGGGUCU
rnacentral:rRNA from 1 species